GGGUGGCAUUCUAAAAAGGUCUGCAACUUCGUUUAGAAGACAAGGAUCAUCAGGGUUGGUUUGGGAUGACAAGUUCUUAUCAGGAGAGUUGAAGCAAAACAAAGAUAACGUAAAAAGUACUACAAGAUCAUCAAAUGGAAAGAUGCAACGUAGUCGAUCCGAGGGAGGAGCUAUCUACCGGACGGUGAAGGUUUCUUCAUCACCAAACGACAACGUCGACCCUCCAUCUCCUAAAGUCUCAGGCUGUGGGUGUAUUUUUGGCAAACCAGUUUCCACCCAUCAACGAAAAUCUUGUAAGCGUUAAUUAUUAUUA
rnacentral:misc_RNA from 1 species